GACGAACGCUGGCGGCGUGCCUAAUACAUGCAAGUCGAACGAACUCUGGUAUUGAUUGGUGCUUGCAUCAUGAUUUACAUUUGAGUGAGUGGCGAACUGGUGAGUAACACGUGGGAAACCUGCCCAGAAGCGGGGGAUAACACCUGGAAACAGAUGCUAAUACCGCAUAACAACUUGGACCGCAUGGUCCGAGUUUGAAAGAUGGCUUCGGCUAUCACUUUUGGAUGGUCCCGCGGCGUAUUAGCUAGAUGGUGGGGUAACGGCUCACCAUGGCAAUGAUACGUAGCCGACCUGAGAGGGUAAUCGGCCACAUUGGGACUGAGACACGGCCCAAACUCCUACGGGAGGCAGCAGUAGGGAAUCUUCCACAAUGGACGAAAGUCUGAUGGAGCAACGCCGCGUGAGUGAAGAAGGGUUUCGGCUCGUAAAACUCUGUUGUUAAAGAAGAACAUAUCUGAGAGUAACUGUUCAGGUAUUGACGGUAUUUAACCAGAAAGCCACGGCUAACUACGUGCCAGCAGCCGCGGUAAUACGUAGGUGGCAAGCGUUGUCCGGAUUUAUUGGGCGUAAAGCGAGCGCAGGCGGUUUUUUAAGUCUGAUGUGAAAGCCUUCGGCUCAACCGAAGAAGUGCAUCGGAAACUGGGAAACUUGAGUGCAGAAGAGGACAGUGGAACUCCAUGUGUAGCGGUGAAAUGCGUAGAUAUAUGGAAGAACACCAGUGGCGAAGGCGGCUGUCUGGUCUGUAACUGACGCUGAGGCUCGAAAGUAUGGGUAGCAAACAGGAUUAGAUACCCUGGUAGUCCAUACCGUAAACGAUGAAUGCUAAGUGUUGGAGGGUUUCCGCCCUUCAGUGCUGCAGCUAACGCAUUAAGCAUUCCGCCUGGGGAGUACGGCCGCAAGGCUGAAACUCAAAGGAAUUGACGGGGGCCCGCACAAGCGGUGGAGCAUGUGGUUUAAUUCGAAGCUACGCGAAGAACCUUACCAGGUCUUGACAUACUAUGCAAAUCUAAGAGAUUAGACGUUCCCUUCGGGGACAUGGAUACAGGUGGUGCAUGGUUGUCGUCAGCUCGUGCCGUGAGAUGUUGGGUUAAGUCCCGCAACGAGCGCAACCCUUAUUAUCAGUUGCCAGCAUUAAGUUGGGCACUCUGGUGAGACUGCCGGUGACAAACCGGAGGAAGGUGGGGAUGACGUCAAAUCAUCAUGCCCCUUAUGACCUGGGCUACACACGUGCUACAAUGGAUGGUACAACGAGUUGCGAACUCGCGAGAGUAAGCUAAUCUCUUAAAGCCAUUCUCAGUUCGGAUUGUAGGCUGCAACUCGCCUACAUGAAGUCGGAAUCGCUAGUAAUCGCGGAUCAGCAUGCCGCGGUGAAUACGUUCCCGGGCCUUGUACACACCGCCCGUCACACCAUGAGAGUUUGUAACACCCAAAGUCGGUGGGGUAACCUUUUAGGAACCAGCCGCCUAAGGUGGGACAGAUGAUUAGGGUG
rnacentral:rRNA from 1 species